rnacentral:lncRNA from 1 species
UGUUGUGUAGUUGUUGUGUUGUGUAGUUGUUGUGUUGUGUCAUUGUGUAGUUGUGUCAUUGUGUAGUUGCUGUGCAGUUUUGUUGUGUCGUUGUGGUGUAGUUGUGGUGUAGUUGUGUUGUGGAGUUGUGCAGUUGUUGUGUUGUUGUGUCGUUGUGUCAUUGUGUAGUUGUGUUGUGUCAUUCUGUAGUUGCUGUGUAGUUGUUGUGUAGUUGUGUUGUGUCGUUGUGGUGUAGUUGUGGUGUAGUUGUGUUGUGGAGUUGUGCAGUUGUUGUGUUGUUGUGUAGUUGUGUAGUUGUGUUGUGUUGUUGUGUAGUUGUUGUGUUGUGUAGUUGUUGUGUUGUGUCACUGUGUAGUUGUGGUGUUGUGUCAUUGUGCUGUUGCUGUGUUGUUGUGUAGUUGUGUUGUAGUGUUGUUGUGUAGUUGUGUUGUUGUUGUGUUGUACAGUUGUUGUGUUGUGUAGUUGUUGUGUAGUUGUGUUGUAGUGUUGUAGUGUAGUUGUGUUGUUAUUGUGUUGUGUAGUUGUGUAGUUGUUGUGUAGUUGUGUUGUGCAGUUGUAGUGUUGUUGUGCAGUUGUGUUGUUGUGCAGUUGUUGUGUUGUUGUGUUGUU